CCUACGGGGAGCUGCAGUGGGGAAUAUUGGACAAUGGGCGAAAGCCUGAUCCAGCCAUGCCGCGUGUGUGAAGAAGGCCUUCGGGUUGUAAAGCACUUUCAGUGGGGAAGAAAGCCUUGGGGCUAAUACCCUCGAGGAAGGACAUCACCCACAGAAGAAGCACCGGCUAACUCCGUGCCAGCAGCCGCGGUAAUACGGAGGGUGCGAGCGUUAAUCGGAAUUACUGGGCGUAAAGCGCGCGUAGGCGGUCUGAUAAGCCGGUUGUGAAAGCCCCGGGCGCAACCUGGGAACGGCAUCCGGAACUGUCAGGCUAGAGUGCAGGAGAGGAAGGUAGAAUUCCCGGUGUAGCGGUGAAAUGCGUAGAGAUCGGGAGGAAUACCAGUGGCGAAGGCGGCCUUCUGGACUGACACUGACGCUGAGGUGCGAAAGCGUGGGUAGCAAACAGGAUUACAUACCCCAGUAGUC
rnacentral:rRNA from 1 species